rnacentral:tRNA from 1 species
GCCCGAGUGGUGAAAUCGGUAGACACAAGGGACUUAAAAUCCCUCGGCUGCAAGGCCGUGCCGGUUCGAUUCCGGCCUCGGGCACCA